CCUACGGGAGGCAGCAGUGGGGAAUUUUGGACAAUGGGCGCAAGCCUGAUCCAGCCAUGCCGCGUGAGUGAAGAAGGCCUUCGGGUUGUAAAGCUCUUUCGGCAGGAACGAAAUGGUUCGUGCUAAUACCACGGACUGAUGACGGUACCUGAAGAAGAAGCACCGGCUAACUACGUGCCAGCAGCCGCGGUAAUACGUAGGGUGCAGGCGUUAAUCGGAAUUACUGGGCGUAAAGCGUGCGCAGGCGGUUUCUUAAGUCAGAUGUGAAAGCCCCGGGCUUAACCUGGGAACUGCGUUUGAAACUGGGAGACUUGAGUGUGGCAGAGGGGGGUGGAAUUCCACGUGUAGCAGUGAAAUGCGUAGAUAUGUGGAGGAACACCGAUGGCGAAGGCAGCCCCCUGGGCUAACACUGACGCUCAUGCACGAAAGCGUGGGGAGCAAACAGGAUUAGAUACCCUGGUAGUCCACGCCCUAAACUAUGUCAACUGGUUGUCGGGAGAUUAACUCUCUUGGUAACGAAGCUAACGCGUGAGUUGACCGCCUGGGGNGAGNGCGCGAGUUAAACGUUAUAAUUAGAGUGNGNGNGNGAGNGCGAGCGACGACGAGGAGAGG
rnacentral:rRNA from 1 species